AAUAUUCAUAACGUUUCUUUAUUAUAUUUACACUAAUUAUUCUAAUUUUUACUUCCACAACUCUUUUAUCUAUCAAUAUUCUAUAGCUUAUUUUCCGCUGGUUUGCGAUCAUUACCCUUUUUUUUUUUUUAACCAUAAACAAUUCUUUAAUCUUAAGAAGGGAGUCUACCGGACUCUUCUGUUUUCCAUGCUAUUCAAAAGUUCCACUUGAAUUCUAAUCUAAUCCUUAUGAUCCGCACAAUAAAAUUGUGCUCUUCCUAAAGAAUACCUGGCCAACUAGUUCCUAUCGAAUUACUGUUAUCAGUAGAAUAUCAUUUCUUAACUGUUUUAUAAGUUAUAAUUAUCAUCCAUAGCAUCCUGUCUCUUCUAGGGGAACAAAAUUAUAUUUUGUGUCUUACUGCUACACAAAUAGAAUACUGUUCCUUACUAAACUUUGAGCAAAAGAUCCAUUGCAAUACCAGAACAACUAUAAACCCCAUAUCGAAGACUUGAUGUUGAACCCGGGUAGCAUUGACG
rnacentral:misc_RNA from 1 species